GGUUCAAAAAAUAUCAAAGGGUUUGGAUCACGUAUACUGGCUAAAAGUAAUCCCUUUGCUUGCCGUGGACUUCGAGGGAUCACCACCUUGAGACCAGGUACAUGGCAAAAGAAAGCCUCUGGUGAUUGUGAAUGAUAAUGACCACCAUGCCCAACAGCACCAUAAGGAGAUCUUAUUGUCAAACCUCCACAAUUGAAUUGGUUCCCACUACGGUAUCUAAACUUAGCUGCUUCAUUCACAAUCUGGUCAAAGGCAGGGAAAAUAUAAUCUGCAAACUGAAUUUCUGCAAUGGCUCGAUUCCCCAUUGCAGCUAGGCCAAUUGCAAAACCAGCAAUUCCCUGUUCACAUAAGGGAGUAUUGAAGACUCUCUUCCUACCAAAUCGAUCUGCCAACCCAGUUGUACAGCGAAAGACACCACCAAAGCCCACAUCUUCUCCAAAUACAUAAGCACGGGGAUCGGUGUCGAGAGCGAUGUGAAGCGCCUGAUUGAUCGCUGAGAAGAGAUUGACUUGCUUCCCCUCAACCAAGGGCUGAUCCGCGCUGCUGGAGAAGAAUCGCUUGAUGAGCGGCGCAGGCCUUCGCCGUACCAGUCCUGCGAUCGGUCUCAGAGCCAUCGGGGAUGUUGAAGAGAAAG
rnacentral:misc_RNA from 1 species